GGAGGCCUAGCGGCGCGGCUCGCGCAGAGCGGCGGGAGUGCGCUCGGAGGCCCCGCCUUCUUCGGCUAGUCGCGCCAGCUUUACGGCGGGCUGGUAAGGUGGUGAACGUUAUCGGCGAGCUUCGGCGCCCAAGAACGAGGCUUAGAGUGUUUUUCAGUUUCCUGUGAGACCCCGCGCAACCGCAGAUGCACCCGUCGUAGCCAAACACCUAGGUUUAAUGCAAUGCUUGAGGCCUACCCAAUGUCCAAAAACAUUUUUUAAAAUGGCUUCUGUUCUUAGCCUGGUGUGUAUGCUUUAGGACCCGUAGACGAGUUCUAGAAGAUUUUCAUGAGUAUCUUGCCAUUUUCUCAUCGAAAAUUGUUGGCACAUGGAUGACUGUGAUCAAGUUACCGUAAAACAAAAUCUCAAGCCAAAAAGUAACAUAGGAAAUAAUACAGACUGGAUCAUUUGAUCAGAUUUUACUCAGUUCCAAAUUCAGAAGGCUAUAGGAUUAUCUUUCCAGACUCCAAAUGGCAACUUUUAAAUGAGAAUCUUGAAAUCUGUAGAAGUCCAGUAUAUUCUGAUGUAAUUGCAUAUUAAAAUGAGCAGCAGUAAGAGACAUACCUACUGGACAAAAAAGACCCAAUGAAAAUUAAAAGACAAAACACAUAAAACAACUGGAUUUUUUUGUGAAAAAAUUAUUUUGGGAAAGGAAGAUGACAUCUGAAAAGUGAUAGAACUUUUCCAGAGCCAUUUGAAGCUACACAGUGUUUUUCACAUUUGAAUAGACUGCAUCAACAUGAAUUCUUUAUAAGGACCUUAAAAACAAACUUUGCCAAGUCCCAGAAUACAGAAGUGAAUUCACAUCUUGAUACUCAGCUGCCUCAUGAAUAAAGGAGAGCUUGUGCCUGACACUUUGAAGCUGUAGCUGUUAAACCAUACAGAAUAUUUACCUCAAUAAAUCAUUAUAAGAAACUAAGGUACAAUUAUACCCACAGAGAAAAAGAAUUCAAAACACUGAUUUAUGUGUUUCAGUGCCUAUUCCCUUUCCACC